ensembl:lncRNA
AAUACUCUAGUAAAUACUGUUAGAAAAUCUGGUCUUGUAGCAACAGAUGGUUAAGAGGGAACUGAACUCAUCCUCGGGGUUGGUGGAGUGGCAUCUUUCAUUACAAGCAUUGGUUUUGUGUUAGCACAUAACCAUGAAAUGUCAUGACCCAGACCUGUUUUCAUGGGUCCUUCUUACAUGGUCAUGGAUAUUCUUUAAAAUUGUUUAUUCCUUGUGGUGCUUCUGAACUGGGGAAAAGCAAAUUGUGUUUGCAGUGGAGAAGAGAAACUGGAAAGGAAGUUGAAAAUCGCAAUUGAAAACUAGGAAGUAUCUAAGAGAAGGAACAAAAAGAUGGAAGAGGAAAAGCUGUGGUUAAAUGGGUGUGUGAAGGAAAAUGUUAGGAUGAGAAGGAAAGAAAUACCGUGCAACAUGAGAAAGAGCAGCAGAGAAGUAAAAGAGGAAGCUUAUAAGUGCUUCACAGUGGAAGAUGACAUGCAAAGUAGUCAUGCUGUGAUGAUCCAGUCAGUAUAUGUGUGGCCAUAUUUGCAAGUAAAAAUAGUAUAUUUUGUUUUAUAAAGCUGUUGAACAGAUCUUCAAGUUUGGAAGAAUGGACCAUUCAUCAUAUCAGGUGCACAAAAUGUGAGGAGGAACAUAAUUAGCAAGGUCCAAUAGAACUGGUGUUGCUAUUGAAGUCAUAGUUUUUUAAAAACCCAACUGAUUUUUUUUUAAUUAUUUAUUAUUAUUCAUAGGCUUAACUUUUGCAGAUCUGCCACUGAACUUCAGUUUUCCUGGGUCAAGAAUAGAGCCGCUGUUGUCUGAGUUCUCUCCCAUUUAGAGGACUGGAGCACAUCUUAUGAAGAAAGAGCUGGGCUUGUUCAUAUGGGAGAAGAGAGGGCUCUGGGGAGACCUCAUUGCAGCCUUCAGUACUUCAAGGGAGCUUGUAAAUGAGAGAGACACACACUUUUUACACAGAGGGGAGGUUUAGGUUAGAUGUUUGUUAGGAGAAGAUUCUUUACUCGUGAAGUGCAUGGUGAACAUGGAUUUGCAAGCAUUUUGAUGAUGCCAUUGCAGAGAACGAUUACUGUGGAGAUAUGUGGCAAAAAGCGUGCUGCUUAGAUAUGACCUGAAUCUGUUCCCUGCAUGAUUGUUCACAUGGAGUUUCCCUUUCAUAGUAAGGGGAUGACAGGAAGCUGUUUCAAGUAUAGAAGGGUGGGUUCGGGUGCAAAAAACUCUUUUGAGAGGAGAUGUUUUUUCAGCAUAGUUAGCUCCAGAUAGGUGGAGUAGCUUAAGUUGUAUAUUAUGUAGCAAACAAUAAAGGACACAUUAUUAGUGAGGGGUUUCUUCCUGAAGUAAAUUCUGAAAUGAUAUUCCAGUGCCUAUUUGAAAGAAUGUGGUAAGUUUUCCUCUUUUGAAAUAGCCCUGUCUUUUUGAGGUCCUGUGUAUGUCAUUGCGAAAGGUUUCAUAUGUGUUCAUACGCUGGGAGCAAGGGAACCAACGCUGAGAGAUGAGAGCAAAUAGCUGGAGGAGAAGCAAGUAAAAAUAGACACUUAACAGGAAGAGAAAUGUAUGUUUGGGAAGCGAUCAGUAAGGAUGAGAAUUGAUCAGGCCAUGGGGCCCAUUUUUUAACACGAUUUGUGCUGUCAGAUAUUUUUUGAUAACUUACAGUCUCUUCCCAUCUUUUCACUUUGUCUGUUUUUACACAUGGGGAAUUUAUCUUUUGUGAUUGGCACUGCUGUUCUAUUAGAUCUGAUUUUGGACAUUUUUAGGUAUGUUUUGGCUGAAGGCAAGCAGACCUGCUUUCAGAUGUGCCACAACUGAGCCUCCGUAUCGUGUCUGCCUGACUGCAUUCUGCAGCUGCUCUUGGUUCCUAAGAGGAAAGAGUGUAACAAAUGAGGUGGGUAUUUCCCUGUAAAUAAAUACAUUUAAUUUUAGACGUGAAUGAAAGCAUGUUGUGGAGAUGGUAGUUCUCAAAAGGAAACAAUAACUCGUGAGUGUAAGCGUAAUGGCUUCUUGUAUUCAGUGGAAGUGUGGGAACUAAAGGGUGUCACCAAGGCAGUUUUGUAUUAGCUGCAUAUUUUUUGUACUAAGCAAACAGCCAAUAAUGUUUAUCUGGAGUUGGCAUGUGUUAAAAGAUUCACUGAGACAAAAAGAACUUAGGAAAAGGAAAUCCUAAUGCUAACAUGAACCUUGGAGCAUUACUGUAAAGAAAACAGAGCAUCACUAUUGGUGUGCAGGGUCCGGCCCAGGUCUUCAGAUGCCACCAGCCCUGGUGGAGAAAUUGCAUUUGCUUGGUGAAUGUUCCAGUCUGUUCCUACUAAAGAGCAAGAAAUCGCAGCUCUAGAAACUCUGGGAGGGAUCCAUGGAGUCCUGGCUGUACAUCCUAGAAGUUCUAUGUUGUUUAUAGCUAUUUCUUUUUUUUUAAGUUUCUUAUGUUGACCUUUGGGAUAUCUGGGACAUAUGGAUUGGUGCACUGAAGCACAUUUUUAAGAACUGAAAUAAAGGAUUUCUUUUUUUUUGUCAGUUUUCACUUUAUUUUGUAACCUCUGCUGUAUGCAGAAUAAACACUUGUGUAAUAUAGAAGUCUCACCUGAAUUGUAACUUUUUGUGUUUGAGUUGGAAGGGAGCAUUAAAGGCCAUGUGGUCCAACUCCCUGCACUGAACAGGGACACCUACAGCUCCAUCAUGUGCUCAGAGCCCCAUCCAGCCUGACCUUGAAUAUCUCCAAAUCUUCCUUUCCAGAUGCUGUCGCUGAGGCUGUGCCACCUGCCAGGAUCACGGCCCUCCAUCAGCCCCCCAUGGCCACGCGCUCUUAGAAAGCAUGGCCACUAAUCCGUCAUUCACCACUCUGUGCAGAGCGGCAGACUCCCUCCCCAACCCACCCACACUUACCUCAUCCUAUUGAGAGCGCUGCCUGAUCGGGCAGAAUCAAAAUGGCUCACGUGCAAUAUGAAGAGCAAGUGGGUUUGACCAGUGCUCACGCCAAACCUAAAUACGGAUUGAAGUGCACCCUGCCAGCAUAAAGUGUGCAUUGUGUGGCUUUGCUGCGCGGUCCCCAGCCUCAGCUCCAGGGCUGUAAGAAUGCUGCACCCUCGCUUUGAGGGCACAACAAAGCAGCAGUGUCUGAAAUGGAAUGUGCUGCAGGUAGCGAGCUAAGCCUCCAUCACCAAAGGCAGUGGGAGGAUUAAUUAAACUCAAGAAGGCUGUUGCUUGGAGGGACUUCACAGGAAUGCAGACCGAAGGCCCUCAAAGAGCCCACAACAAAGGGCAAAGCCAUGCGCGCUGCAGCUCGUGCCAGGAUGAGCUCUGUGGGAUUAAGGGCUUGGUCUGCCUUGCAGAAAGGGCAGGAACAUCGCUGCCCUAGAGAGCAAUGUGAGCAGGAAACGGAUUUUCGGGUGGUUUUUCCUUGGUAGGGUGGAUUAAAAAAUUGCAGUCUUGCUAAUGACAUAAAUGCUACAUCUGAUACAAUCAAAUGUAUAUGAAAGUUGUAGGAUCACAUGUAAUUUGUUUUGAAUUGUGGUUUGUUUCCAAAUAAAAGACCAUAAGCACCUGUUCCA